GAACUAAGAGACCCAAGAAAAAGCUUCUAACUUUUACUUAAGCAGUGAAAUCUGUUUUUAGUUCU
rnacentral:tRNA from 1 species